rnacentral:rRNA from 1 species
GACGAACGCUGGCGGCGUGCUUAACACAUGCAAGUCGAGCGGUAAGGCCCUUUCGGGGGUACACGAGCGGCGAACGGGUGAGUAACACGUGGGUGACCUGCCCUCAGCUCUGGGAUAAGCCCGGGAAACUGGGUCUAAUACCGGAUAUGACUCCAUGACGCAUGUUGGUGGGGUGGAAAGCCUUGUGCGGCUGAGGAUGGGCCCGCGGCCUAUCAGCUUGUUGGUGGGGUGAGGCCUACCAAGGCGACGACGGGUAGCCGGCCUGAGAGGGCGACCGGCCACACU